rnacentral:lncRNA from 1 species
UCCCAGUGUCCCAUCCCUGUCCCAUCCCAGUAUCCCAGUGUCCCAUCCCAGUGUCCCAUCCCAGUGUCCCAUCCCAGUGUCCCAGUGUCCCAUCCCAGUGUCCCAGUAUCCCAUCCCUGUGUCCCGUCCCAGUGUCUCAUCCCAGUGUCCCAUCCCUGUGUCCCAUCCCUGUGUCCCAUCCCAGUGUCCCAUCCCAUCCCAGUAUCCCUUCCCAGUGUCCCAUCCCAGUGUCCCAUCCCAGUGUCCCAUCCCAGUAUCCCGGUAUCCCAUCCCAGUGUCCCAUCCCAUCCCAGUAUCCCAUCCCAGUGUCCCAUCCCAUCCCAGUAUCCCAUCCCAGUGUCCCAUCCCAGUGUCCCAGUGUCCCAUCCCAGUGUCCCAGUGUCCCAUCCCAGUGUCCCAUCCCUGUCCCAUCCCAGUAUCCCAUCCCAGUGUCCCAUCCCAGUAUCCCAGUGUCCCAUCCCAGUGUCCCAUCCCAGUGUCCCAUCCCAGUGUCCCAUCCCAGUGUCCCAUCCCAUCCCAGUAUCCCUUCCCAGUGUCCCAUCCCAGUGUCCCAGUGUCCCAUCCCAGUGUCCCAUCCCAGUGUCCCAUCCCAGUGUCCCAUCCCAUCCCAGUAUCCCAUCCCUGUCCCAUCCCAGUAUCCCAUCACAUCCCAGUAUCCCAUCCCUGCAUUCCCAUCCCAGUGUCCCAGUGUCCCAUCCCGGUGUCCUAUCCCAUCCCAGUAUCCCAUCCCAGUAUCCCAGUAUCCCAUCCCAGUAUCCCAUCCCAGUAUCCCAUCCCAGUAUCCCAUCCCAGUGUCCCAUCCCUGUCCCAUCAAGGGGAUCCCCUUUCCAAAAAUCCUUUGGGAUCGGGGGGAUCCCNGGAUUCUCCCAGUGCUCCCAGUGCCACUCUGGGGUUCUCCCAGUGCUCCCAGUGCCCCAAAAUCCUAUCCUGGAGAGCUCCCAGUGCUUUAAAUUCCCAAAAUCCCACUCUGGGAUGCUCCCAGUGCUCCCAGUGCCACCCUGGGAUGCUCCCAGUGCUCCCAGUGCCACCCUGGGAUGCUCCCAGUGCCCCAAAAUCCCACCCUGGGGUUCUCCCAGUGCUCCCAGUUCCACCCUGGGGUUCUCCCAGUGCUCCCAGUUCCACCCUGGGGUGCUCCCAGUUCCCAAAAUCCCGCCCUGAGGUUCUCCCAGUGCUCCCAGUUUCACCCUGGGGUUCUCCCAGUGCUCCCAGUGCCACUCUGGGAUGCUCCCAGUGCCACCCUGGGGUUCUCCCAGUGCUCCCAGUUCCACUCUGGGGUUCUCCCAGUGCUCCCAGUCCAGGGCCUCACCCCAAACCCCAGGAAUUUCCCGGAAUUUCAGGAGCAGAUUCCAGCAGCUCCCAGGGCAGGACCUCAGCAGGAAUUUGGGAAUCACCCUUUGGAAUUUAACAAAAAAAACAAAACACCACCGACCCAGCUUUGGCUUCAUUUUAUUUUUAAUUCCUCCCCUCUUUUUAAUUUUAAUUUUAAUUUUAAUUUUAAUUUUAAUUUUAAUUUUAAUUUCGAAUUUUAAUUUUGUUUUUUGGUGUGUGCUUAAUUUAUUCGAAUAGUGGCUGUAUAAUUUAUUUUCAUAAAUAUAUGAGAAAAGUUACUAAAUGGUUAAAAAAAAAGAAGAAUAAUAGUAAUAAUAAUAAUAAUAAUAAUAAUAAUAAAAAAAAACCAAACGGACUUUGCA